UGCUGUUUAAUCCACCCAGGGCCGGAGGACCGUGGUAUCGACCGAGAGGCUUUACGCCGAGGAUGCGCUGAGGGGAACUCGGGUUUGAACCGCUGAACCGGACUGUUCCUGCUUGGCUCUGGUUCGGGGAGAGAGUAGCGGAGGGGUGUGCGUCCGGAGCCGUCUCGCCUCCAUGUUCUCGGCUCCCUGGGACCCGGCUAGGAUGCACCAGCAGCAGCGGAUGGCUGCGCUGGGGAGCGACAAGGAGCUGAGCGACCUGCUGGACUUCAGCGCGAUGCGAAACAGCGAUUUGAAAAUGUUCCCAACAUCCAUGAUGUUCUCUCCUCCCGUUAGCAAUGGCAGCAAACAUGGAUCCUCAUCGCUAGGGAGCAGACACUACAGCACACCAA